UGCGCAACUUAAAAAAAAAAACAACCAAAAAAAAAAAUAACACACAUCCAGGGUUCUGUAUUCAUUAACCCUUUUUGCAUAUCCAAAGACAAUUUAAGCAACUGCUUGACUUAGCUGGUUCAAUGGACAAACAGAUUUACCGACUGGCAAGGUAACAGUUUGAACGCAGCUAGCUAGUUAAGCUAACAUAUUAGCUGUUAUCUGGCAGAAUGUGUUUGUGACUGCGUUGUUUAGUGCCAGAACCGGAGGUCAAGAUGUGGGGACUAUUUGCUGAGCCAAGAUUUGAGGUUUUGUUGAAGUUUGAAGGCACAUUUCAACUUCUUCAACAAAAGCUAUGAACCAGGUGGGCCUUAUAUUGAUUUGAAGAGAACAUCAAUACAACUUGCCCCGUCUGAGUGAAAACAACACUCUGGGCAGGACUGCUGCCUUCGUUUUUUUUCAAUCUCUCCGCCCUCCGUGGAGAAAUGGGAGCUCUCUCACGUCGGCUGUCCAUCUUCUGGGAAUGCCAUCCUCUGACAUUAAUGGCCUGUUUAAACAGCUCCAGCACAGCGAGACUGGAUUGACUGGAGACAUCAGGCAGCCUCUGGACAUUGCAGUGUCAGCAACAGCAAG